CCACCUUCGCCGCCCCUCAAUCUAAUUCAACGUAGAAAUGUAGAUCUAAAAGAAGGGAAUAUGUUUUCUUGUUCUAGCUAUGGCUGAGAAGAAAACUACAAAGUAGAGCAACAUUUGGAUUCGGACCUUGCAAAAGUAGGUUGGAGAAACAAAGGCGAUUUGAAAAGUCACUUUCACUAAAAGGAUUCAAAGAGUUGAUUUCAAUGACAUUUAGAAGAUGGCAAGAGUGGAACAACGCAUGGAUCGGAGUCAAAACAAGCAAAGGACCUAAUGAAUCUCUCAAUUUGGAAGACAUGCUUGGAAGACAUGGAGAAUGCUUUCUAGAUGUCUACAAUAUAGUAUAAAUAUAAAUUGCACGAGGAACAAUCUGAUUUCCUUUCCAUUGACAUCAUGCUUCGAAGAAAUGCAUGUCGUUUAUUGUCAACGGCUAUUGAAAGACAUGGUGAAUAUUUUUAGACUUUUACAAUUCAACGAUAGCUUAAAUUGCGACACAUUAGAGAUGUAUGACGUAUGUAUACAACAACAUAUAAUAUGCAAAACUUAAUAAAUCAUUUCAAAUAAUACUUCAAUAGGUUGAUAAUGGAAGUAUUACAAGAUAUCAAUCGAAAGUGCAUGAAAAAGUAAGUGCCAAUGAAAUUUUCACGUAACGAAAGACAACUCCUUAGAUGGAUAUGGGUUGAGUUAAAAAUUUGAAGCAUAGGCAUCGUUACAAUUUGCUCACUCAAGUUGUUAACUCUCAUGUCUACUUCAUCUUCAUGCAGUGUCUAUUUAUAUAUUGUAAUACUUCCAUAAUCAACUUGUUGUAACAUUAUUGGAAAAAUACAUUUUUAA